AACCCAUGGUGAAGGCACUCUCUUCAGUACUCCUUGUACCUUUCGCAAGCUUCGCAAAAGGUUCACCAGGUUGUUGUCUGAACAAUGAGAUCAUGUUCCUUAGAGC
rfam:Eutrema salsugineum unplaced genomic scaffold scaffold_7, whole genome shotgun sequence.